AAUGAACGCUGGCGGCAGGCCUAACACAUGCAAGUCGAACGGAUCCUUCGGGAUUAGUGGCGGACGGGUGAGUAACGCGUGGGAACAUACCCUUUGGUACGGAAUAGCCUCGGGAAACUGGGAGUAAUACCGUAUGUGGUCGAGAGACGAAAGAUUUAUCGCCAAGGGAUUGGCCCGCGUUGGAUUAGGUAGUUGGUGGGGUAAUGGCCUACCAAGCCGAAGAUCCAUAGCUGGUUUGAGAGGAUGAUCAGCCACACUGGGACUGAGACACGGCCCAGACUCCUACGGGAGGCAGCAGUGGGAAAUAUUAGACAAUGGGGGAAACCCUGAUCUAGCCAUGCCGCGUGAUCUAUGAAGGCCUUAGGGUUGUAAAGAUCGUUCAGGUGGGAAGAUAAUGACUGUACCACCAGAAGAAGCCCCGGCUAACUCCGUGCCAGCCGCCGCAGUAACAC
rnacentral:rRNA from 1 species